rnacentral:tRNA from 6 species
GCGGGUAUAGUAUAAUGGUUAUUAUGUCAGGUUUCCAACCUGAAGAUACGGGUCCGAUUCCCAUUACCCGCUCCA